rnacentral:rRNA from 1 species
AGAGUUUGAUCCUGGCUCAGAACGAACGCUGGCGGCGUGGAUAAGACAUGCAAGUCGAACGAGAGAAUUGCUAGCUUGCUAAUAAUUCUCUAGUGGCGCACGGGUGAGUAACACGUGAGUAACCUGCCCCCGAGAGCGGGAUAGCCCUGGGAAACUGGGAUUAAUACCGCAUAGUAUCGAAAGAUUAAAGCAGCAAUGCGCUUGGGGAUGGGCUCGCGGCCUAUUAGUUAGUUGGUGAGGUAACGGCUCACCAAGGCGAUGACGGGUAGCCGGUCUGAGAGGAUGUCCGGCCACACUGGAACUGAGACACGGUCCAGACACCUACGGGUGGCAGCAGUCGAGAAUCAUUCACAAUGGGGGAAACCCUGAUGGUGCGACGCCGCGUGGGGGAAUGAAGGUCUUCGGAUUGUAAACCCCUGUCAUGUGGGAGCAAAUUAAAAAGAUAGUACCACAAGAGGAAGAGACGGCUAACUCUGUGCCAGCAGCCGCGGUAAUACAGAGGUCUCAAGCGUUGUUCGGAAUCACUGGGCGUAAAGCGUGCGUAGGCUGUUUCGUAAGUCGUGUGUGAAAGGCGCGGGCUCAACCCGCGGACGGCACAUGAUACUGCGAGACUAGAGUAAUGGAGGGGGAACCGGAAUUCUCGGUGUAGCAGUGAAAUGCGUAGAUAUCGAGAGGAACACUCGUGGCGAAGGCGGGUUCCUGGACAUUAACUGACGCUGAGGCACGAAGGCCAGGGGAGCGAAAGGGAUUAGAUACCCCUGUAGUCCUGGCAGUAAACGGUGCACGCUUGGUGUGCGGGGAAUCGACCCCCUGCGUGCCGGAGCUAACGCGUUAAGCGUGCCGCCUGUGGAGUACGGUCGCAAGAUUAAAACUCAAAGAAAUUGACGGGGACCCGCACAAGCGGUGGAGUAUGUGGCUUAAUUCGAUGCAACGCGAAGAACUUUACCUGGGCUUGACAUGUAAUGAACAACAUGUGAAAGCAUGCGACUCUUCGGAGGCGUUACACAGGUGCUGCAUGGCCGUCGUCAGCUCGUGUCGUGAGAUGUUUGGUUAAGUCCAGCAACGAGCGCAACCCCUGUUGCCAGUUACCAGCACGUGAAGGUGGGGACUCUGGCGAGACUGCCCAGAUCAACUGGGAGGAAGGUGGGGACGACGUCAGGUCAGUAUGGCCCUUAUGCCCAGGGCUGCACACGUACUACAAUGCCCAGUACAGAGGGGGCCGAAGCCGCGAGGCGGAGGAAAUCCUAAAAACUGGGCCCAGUUCGGACUGUAGGCUGCAACCCGCCUACACGAAGCCGGAAUCGCUAGUAAUGGCGCAUCAGCUACGGCGCCGUGAAUACGUUCCCGGGUCUUGCACUCACCGCCCGUCA